rnacentral:rRNA from 1 species
GAUGAACGCUAGCGACAGGCUUAACACAUGCAAGUCGAGGGGCAGCGGGGGUGAUGGCUUGCCAUCACCUGCCGGCGACCGGCGCACGGGUGAGUAACACGUAUGCAACCUGCCCGCCACAGGGGGAUAAGCGGAAGAAGUUCCGUCUAAUACCGCGUGACGCGGCGUCGGGGCAUCCCGGUGCCGCCAAAGGGAUUACCGGUGGCGGAUGGGCAUGCGGCGCAUUAGCUAGUCGGCGGGGUAACGGCCCACCGAGGCGACGAUGCGUAGGGGUUCUGAGAGGAAGGUCCCCCACACUGGUACUGAGACACGGACCAGACUCCUACGGGAGGCAGCAGUGAGGAAUAUUGGUCAAUGGGCGGGAGCCUGAACCAGCCAAGUCGCGUGAGGGAUGACGGUCCUACGGAUUGUAAACCUCUUUUGCCGGGGAGCAAGCGUGCGUUCGUGAACGCGCGUCGAGAGUACCCGGAGAAAAAGCAUCGGCUAACUCCGUGCCAGCAGCCGCGGUAAUACGGAGGAUGCGAGCGUUAUCCGGAUUUAUUGGGUUUAAAGGGUGCGUAGGCGGGAUGCCAAGUCAGCGGUAAAAAUGCGGUGCUCAACGCCGUCGAGCCGUUGAAACUGGCGUUCUUGAGUGGGCGAGAAGUAUGCGGAAUGCGUGGUGUAGCGGUGAAAUGCAUAGAUAUCACGCAGAACUCCGAUUGCGAAGGCAGCAUACCGGCGCCCUACUGACGCUGAGGCACGAAAGCGUGGGUAUCGAACAGGAUUAGAUACCCUGGUAGUCCACGCAGUAAACGAUGAAUGCUAACUGUCCGGUGCGAGUGAGCGCUGGGCGGUACAGCGAAAGCGUUAAGCAUUCCACCUGGGGAGUACGCCGGCAACGGUGAAACUCAAAGGAAUUGACGGGGGCCCGCACAAGCGGAGGAACAUGUGGUUUAAUUCGAUGAUACGCGAGGAACCUUACCCGGGCUCAAACGCAGGGUGACGGGUCCCGAAAGGGGCCUUUCUUCGGACAUUCUGCGAGGUGCUGCAUGGUUGUCGUCAGCUCGUGCCGUGAGGUGUCGGCUUAAGUGCCAUAACGAGCGCAACCCCUGUCCACAGUUGCCAGCAGGUAAAGCUGGGGACUCUGUGGAGACUGCCGGCGCAAGCUGCGAGGAAGGCGGGGAUGACGUCAAAUCAGCACGGCCCUUACGUCCGGGGCGACACACGUGUUACAAUGGCAGGUACAGCGGGAUGCCACGGGGCGACCCGGCGCUGAACCCGAAAACCUGUCUCAGUUCGGAUUGGAGUCUGCAACCCGACUCCAUGAAGCUGGAUUCGCUAGUAAUCGCGCAUCAGCCACGGCGCGGUGAAUACGUUCCCGGGCCUUGUACACACCGCCCGUCAAGCCAUGGAAGCCGGGGGUACCUGAAGUGCGUGACCGCGAGGAGCGCCCUAGGGUAAAACCGGUGACUGGGGCU